rnacentral:lncRNA from 1 species
GGGAGAUGGCAUGCGUGGAGGUAUCGAGCCAGACAUGUCGUUAGAGAGGUUAUAGAAGAGAACCCGAUGAGGGGAAAGAGGGGAGAUGGCAUGCUGGAGGUGUAUGAGAGACAGGAAAAGGGAGGAGGAGAGAGAAGAGUAAGCUUUUUAAAGCAGAGUCUAAUGUUUAAAAUGUUUUUAUUGUUGCUAAAAAUAAAUGGAUAAAAAAGAUAAAACUGUUCACCCCCCCCCCGCCCCCCCCCCCCCCCCCCCCCCCCCCCCCCCGCCCCCCCCCCGUCCCCCCCCCCCCCCCCCCCCCCCCCCUUCCCCCCCCACCACCCCCCCCCCCCCCCCCCCCCCUUACCUUAUUACAGUAUGUUGUUGCAGUGAUAUCUCCCUAUACAUAUGUUUUCCCAUGCUAUCAUUCCCUAUACUAGUAUUUUUUGUCCCAGUCAUUCAUACUAUACAGUAUGUUGUCCCAGUGAUAUCAUUCCUAUACAGUAUGUUGUCCCCAGUGAUAUCAUACCUAUACAGUAUGUUGUCCCAGGGAUAUCAUCCCUAUAUGUUGUCCCAGGGAUAUCACCCCUAUAUGUUGUCCCAGGGAUAUCAUCCCUAAUUGUCUGUCCCAGGUGUAUUUUAUCACCACCUAUAUGU